CUGCGCCCCUCCUGCCCAUGUGCUCCACAUCGACCAUCGGAAGCAAGGGGGGUUUCUGUUUUAACUUCUUUCCUCCCCCCAUAACAAAGGCAGCACUCUGGAGGCUCUUUCUCUGAUUGGACGUCUAGGAAACUGGGAUUCCUCCAAGUUAAUAUCCUUUUGCCGGGCUGAAUGCCGGAAAGACGAGGAGGGAGCAAGAUGAAAACAAAACAUCCCCAAACUGGGUCCAUUAGAGGACGUGCCUCUCCGGAGUGAGAGAGAAUGAACAGAAGUGGUUUAAACAAACAAACAAGCCCCAAACCUCGAGCCUGGAAGGCCUCCAGGGCUCUUUGGACUGAAUUUACACUGGUUCCUGAAGUGUGGAAAAAGUAAAUAAGCUUUUGUUUAGAUUUCAUCCUUCAUGUUCUCUGGACUGAAAGACUGCAAAGUGCCGGAAAGU
rnacentral:lncRNA from 1 species